UACGGAGGGUGCAAGCGUUAUCCGGAUUCACUGGGUUUAAAGGGUGCGUAGGUGGGUCUGUAAGUCAGUGGUGAAAUCCCCGAGCUUAACUUGGGAACUGCCGUUGACACUAUAGAUCUUGAAUAUCGUGGAGGUAAGCGGAAUAUGUCAUGUAGCGGUGAAAUGCUUAGAUAUGACAUAGAACACCAAUUGCGAAGGCAGCUUACUACACGAUCAUUGACACUGAGGCACGAAAGCGUGGGGAGCAAACAGG
rnacentral:rRNA from 1 species